CUUGGUAACUUUUUUGAGAAGCAUGUGGCUACAGAUGUGGAUGCUGAUACUCUCAAUGAAUAGUGGAAGUGUUAUGUGGUCUGAAUCAGUGGUGGAGACAACAAACAAGGUUUCCCGUAAAACAGGUGUCCCUAUCCAUGGUCACGUCUGCCUGCUGUUGAGAAAGAGCAUUUCUGUAAUAGACCAAUAACUAGAUAAAGAAAGCACAAAUCUGUUUGGGGUUGCAUUGUGGAUGCCAAUCUGCAUGUUCUCAAGUUAGUGAUUUAAAAAAAAAAAAGAAAUAAAGAAAGUAAGAAAAGAAGAAGGGAAGUAUAUUUCUGGACUGACUAAUACAACUGUGCCUCAUCACCUGGGGUCCACAGGAGCUAAGAGAAUUUACAAAUGUUUCAACCUCUCUAAGGAACAUGAUGUUCUCCUGCACAUUGUGAGAAAACUCCUCAAUAAAGAAAGUAAGAAACCCAGGACCAAAGCACCCAAGGUUCCCCAUUGUGUUACUCCACAUGUCUGGCAACUCAAACAUCAGCAUAUUGCUUCAAGGAAAGAGCAUGCUAAAAUAUAUAUAUAUGUAUAUAUAUACAUACAUGGAAGAAGCUGUAGAAUAUGCUAAACUUUUGGCCAAGGAAAUGAAGGAGGUCAAAGAAAAACACUAGAAAGAGAUUGCCAACAGACCGAGGCUAUUUUCUCUGAAAGCUUCUACCUCUGAGUCCAGUCAAAAAUAA
rnacentral:lncRNA from 10 species